AGCCCCGUGCUGAGCGACCUCGGAAGCGCUGUGCUGAGUGACGUAAGCCAGAAACAAAAGGACAAAUGUUGUAUGAUUCUACUUGCAUCAGAUACCUAGAAGAGCCUAAUUCACAGACAGAAAGUAGAUUCGAGGCAAUGGCACGAUCUCAGCUCACUGCAGCCUCGACCUCCCAGGCUCAAGCCAUCCUCCCACCUUGGCCUCCCAAAGUGCUGGGAUUACAGGCAUGAGCCACCGUGCCUGGCCAAAUCCAACAAUUUAUUUUAAAAAGAUAAUACUGUACACCAUGAUCAAGUGGGAUAUUUCCCAGGACUGAAAGAUUGGUUUAACAACCAGAACUCAAUUAAUGUAAUAAAUCAUAUUAAUAAAAUAAAGGACAAAAGCCACAUGAUCAUCCCAAUUGAUACAGAAAAUCCAUUUGACAAAAUCUAACACCCAUUUAUAAUUAAAAAAAAACUUUCAACAAACCAGAAAUGAGAGUGAACCUCCUCAACCUAGUAAUGGAAUCUAUGGAAACCUACAGCACGCUUCCUGGGGAAAGCCUGACCGUCUCGAAUCUAUGGAAACCUACAGCACGCUUCCUGGGGAAAGCCUGACCGUCUCCCCACGGAAGGGAGCAAGUCAAGGGGACCCUCCCCUCCCGCUCCUCCCACACUGCACGGCGGGUUCCAGCCAGGGCAGUGAGGCAAGAACAUGGAACUCAAAUCACCGGGAUUAGCAAAAAAGACGUAGAACUACGCCUCACGCCGUAGGUGCAAUCGCCUAAGGAAUCUACAAAGAUGAAAUAAAAUGAAGUAAAACCUGAUAAGAUGAUCGAAGGAGUUUAACAAGAUCAUGGGGUGUAGGAUAUUUCUGCAUUGACAGUGAACACCCCAAGAUGAAAUGCAGAAAGCGUCCUGGUCAAAUAGCAUCAGGAAGAAUAAGCUACUUAGGAAUAAUUUCGCAAGGGAAGUGUGAGACUUGUAUGCUGCAAACUGCGAAACAUGGCUGGAAAAAAGACCCAAAGAAAACCUGAACAGAUGGAGAGACUUCCCACGCCGAGGCUGGAAGGCUGAACCCUGCGCAGACGGCGGGGCUCCCGCGGUGCUCCGCGUGGCCUUCGUCCCCCUCUGGCCGUGUUCCCUCCCCGGCUCAGAGCCACUCCUCCUAGUUACCACCCUCGGCCCUCCCUCUGCAAGCCCAGGAGGCCCGGGCCACAGGAUGGUGAGCUGGGGGUCCAGCCUCUCCUGGCGUUUUACCCACGUAGGUGACAACUGACGGCACUGGAGCAGAGAGGCUGACUCUGCCCAAGGAGACCAGGGAGGCUUGGACCCCAGGCUGGAGGGGGCCGGGGACCCAGACCCACUCACUUGAUUUGGAAGGACACGGGGCUGUCAAACCUAUGCAGGAUCAUCACACCCGGCCCUUCGUUUGUCCCUUUUCGGCCAAGCUCAGGACCCUGUAACCCAGGAAGACAAGCUCGUGGUUCUGAGAUGGCCCAGGGAAUUGGCCAAUCCCACCGGAAACCCUUGUUCCUUCCUCUGGUCAUUGACGCGCCUCCCAGACGGCUUCAAGAGCCCCGCAGAUCCUUCCACUACUCCCCAGCCUAGAAGAUCCAGCCAGCUGCCACCUUCUGUGUCCCCGUGUCCUCCUGCUCUGCCCUGCCCUCAGCCAGCUGCCACCUUCUCUGUGUCCCUGUGUCCUCCCGCUCUGCCCUGCCCUCCAGGGACAGAAACCCUCGAGGUUCUGGCUGGGCCCACGUGCUGAGAUGCCUCUGAGAAAGCUGUCUUUCCAUGGUGGAUCCCGCUGGAUGCCCGUGAACACGGGGCCAGCUUGCAGAGAGCUGGAAGGAGGCCUCCUGGCGGCACCCAGGCCUGACACAGGUGACGGAGCAGGGGAAUGGCUCAAG